UUAUAAUUUGUAAUUUCAUAAUUAAAGUUUAUAAUUUUAAAUUUUAAAAUUUAAUUUGAUAUUUUAUAUUUUUAAAAUUUAAAAUUUGAUAUUUAAAUUAUAAAAAUUUGAUUUUAAAUUAAAUAUUUCUAUUUUAAAUUUUAAAUUUUAAAUUUGAUAAUUUAGAAGUUGAGAGUUUAAUUUCAAUUUUUAAAAUUUAAAAUUUAAAAUAAAAUUUAAAAUUUAAAAAUUCGAAUUCAAAUAUAACGAGAUAGAUAAUAUUAUUUUUCUAUUUAUAACUACUCACUAUCCUUCAUAUUCAUCCUAUCUAAUCAAACGCUAUUUUUUUUAUUCCCAGAAAUAAUCCAAUUUUCAUCCAAACGUAAAAUUGAUCUAAUCUCCGCUUAUAGCUCAAUUUAUAUCUAUCCCUCUUUUUACUUAUUUUCGAACCAAACGAUACCUAAAUAUAUAAAUAUUUUUUAAUCAAUCAAGGAGAUAUAACCUA
rnacentral:lncRNA from 1 species